CAGGCUGCAACUCGCCUGCAUGAAGUCGGAAUUGCUAGUAAUCGUAGGUCAGCAUACUACGGUGAAUACGUUCCCGGGCCUUGUACACACCGCCCGUCAAACCAUGAGAGUUGGCAACACCCGAAGUCGGUAGUCUAACCGCAAGGAGGACGCCGCCGAAGGUGGGGUCGAUGAUUAGGGUUAAGUCGUAACAAGGUACC
rnacentral:rRNA from 1 species